AGAGUUUGAUCAUGGCUCAGAACGAACGCUGGCGGCAUGCCUAACACAUGCAAGUCGAACGUGAUCCGGGGCUUGCUCCGGUGAAAGUGGCGGACGGGUGAGUAACGCGUGGGAACCUGCCCAGUGGUCGGGGAUAACUGCGGGAAACUGCAGCUAAUACCCGGUAAGCCCUAUGGGGGAAAGAUUUAUCGCCAUUGGAGGGGCCCGCGUCGGAUUAGGUAGUUGGUGGGGUAACGGCCUACCAAGCCUACGAUCCGUAGCUGGUCUGAGAGGAUGAUCAGCCACACUGGGACUGAGAUACGGCCCAGACUCCUACGGGAGGCAGCAGUGGGGAAUAUUGGACAAUGGGCGCAAGCCUGAUCCAGCAAUGCCGCGUGAGUGAAGAAGGCCUUAGGGUUGUAAAGCUCUUUCGGCGGGGACGAUGAUGACGGUACCCGCAGAAGAAGCCCCGGCUAACUCCGUGCCAGCAGCCGCGGUAAUACGGAGGGGGCUAGCGUUGUUCGGAAUUACUGGGCGUAAAGGGCGCGUAGGCGGCGCGAUAAGUUAGGCGUGAAAGGCCCGGGCUCAACCCGGGGACUGCGCUUGAUACUGUCGCGCUGUGAGUCCGGGAGAGGAUGGCGGAAUUCCCAGUGUAGAGGUGAAAUUCGUAGAUAUUGGGAAGAACACCGGUGGCGAAGGCGGCCAUCUGGACCGGCACUGACGCUGAGGCGCGAACGCGUGGGGAGCAAACAGGAUUAGAUACCCCGGUAGUCC
rnacentral:rRNA from 1 species